GUGCUCUUGUGGCCCAUGAAAUCAAGCUUGGGUGAGACCUGGUGCAGAACAGGAAGGCGACCCAUACUUGGUUUCAGUGGCUGCAAGAAUGACGUCAU
ensembl:miRNA